UACGAAGGGGGCUAGCGUUGUUCGGAAUUACUGGGCGUAAAGGGCGCGUAGGCGGUGUGUCAAGUCAGGCGUGAAAGCCCCGGGCUCAACCUGGGAACCGCGCUUGAGACUGGCACGCUCGAGUUCGGGAGAGGAUGGUGGAAUUCCCAGUGUAGAGGUGAAAUUCGUAGAUAUUGGGAAGAACACCGAUGGCGAAGGCAGCCAUCUGGACCGACACUGACGCUGAGGCGCGGAAAGCGUGGGGAGCAAACAGGAUU
rnacentral:rRNA from 1 species